AAAGUAACACACCCACCCGCGAAAGAUAAGGUUGAUACAGUUAAGAGUUUAGUAGAGCAAAGCAAUAACUAUUAACUAACUAACAAUGCCGUUGACAGCUACAGUUUGUGCUCUCAACUCUUUCUCGACCAUCGUCACCGCGCAAUCUUCAUUCCCUCCAAAACGCAACCUUCCCAUUUCCUCUUCUCACAUUUUCUCUCGCAGAGACAUAGCUUUACUUUCACUCUUCUCUCUAUCUGCUGCGCCUGCCUCCGCCAUUGACUUCGGCAUCUCAGGACCAAAGGAUUGGCUAAAAGAACAAAAGAAGAAAUCCUUCAAGUUUCUACUAGCUCCCGUCGACGCUUCCCGCGAAAGCCUUCGCUCUGUCUAUCUUUAUCUCACUGCGGAAACUGGUGCUUCUUAUACCGAUGAGGAUUUGCAGAAAUUUCAGGAGCUAUUCAGAUCUGCUGCCAGGGAUUGCGUCCCAGAGGAUCGGAAUUCCUUUGUUGCUUUCCAAGCUAACACUGGAGUUGAGGUGUGCACAUUUAGGUUGAUUGUGAAGAAUGCAGCCUCGUUGCUUGGAAAGAAGGAUCCUGUGAAGUUAGAAGCUGAAGCUUUGCUAGAUAAUCUUAUAAGAUCUUUCGCCUCUAUCAGUGGGAUGGCAAGUGAAACAAACAUUGAACUUGCAUCAGAUAGGAGAAAGAUAGCAGAUGCCGUAUCGGAUACAAUAACAUGUCUUGACAAAUUUGAGCAAGGAAUCAGGGAUUGCCUCGAAAUCUAACUGUAAAUAGCCUGUUCUACUUUUCAAAGUGGAAGGUUGAUUUUUAAAAUGUCAUUUAAAACUUUGAUCGGGUGAACCAGAAGCUUCCACCAAAUACAAGCGACAGCAUGGUGUUCCGUCAUCUGGAUUGGUUUCUAAUGACCUAGGCAAGCUUCGGAGCUUGUUGAAGAGAUUUAACGGAUCAGUCAAGAGGCCGAAAUGGGCAUCUGGGUCUCCAAUUUGUGAAAGUUUUACAUGAUUGAAGCCAAUAGAUGGCAAGAGUUGGUCUGGCCAAUCACUGUAAAAUUGGAAUACUGAAUUGGAUAGCGUGGUUGAUGACUUAUUCAUAAAGUCCGCUAAGAUGACUGUGUGGGUUAAGACGCAAUUGUUAGCUAAAAUCCUUAGCAGUUGCAUGGCGUUGGAUUGGGCGAGGUAGUACAGGAUACCUUCUAGAAUCCAAACUGUGCUCUUCUGUGGCAAAAAACCUGCAAUUUGAAGCUUUUCCAUCCAAUCAUUUUCUCUUAUGUCAGCUGCUACUCUGGUUAAUGAUUUUGCUUUAGACACACUAUAUUGUGACUCGUAUGCGGAUUCCUUAGCUGCUUGCAGAAUAGUGCUCUUCAACUCCAAGACUUCGGGAAAAUCAACCUCAAAGACAUUGCUGUCCUUUAAGCAACUCAAACGAUAUGCUCUUGUGUCCAUUCCUGCAUAAAUUUUGCAAUAGUAUAUAUGUUAGCUAGCUCAGAAGAGUAUAACCCUUGUUCAGAUCUUCAAGGUUUCAUUGUCAGUGAUAAUGAUUAGCUUCUGGUCAGACUGGCGUUGGUCCAAAUUUGUCCUGUCUAAUGAUCGUUUGGAACGUAAGUGCUCUUGUUUAAAAUGUGUUGUUACAUUUUAAUCCGGUCUGAAAGGUCCUGCUUGUAUCCACAAAUUGACUAGGAAUAAAAUAAAUGAAGAUAAUAUGAAAGAUGUCA